CUGCGCUGCGGGCGUAGCGGAGCUACGGGAAUAGGAGGGGAAGCGCGAGCGCGGCGGCGCUUCGUGAGGGGAAAUGGCGGGAGGAGCAGCUCCCUCACGGCCGCUGGGGCCUCUUCAGCGUCUCCUGAGGCCGUCCGGGAUGGGGAAGCCUGGCCUCGGCCCGCGGGGAGCGAGUGCUGUGGAGACCGAGGGGCCUGUGGGAAACACUGUCCCGGUGCCUCCUUCAGGGCUUGUGCCUCAUAGGGCUGAGUCCCGCGGGUGGAGCUGCGCUCGCUUUCCCCUUCCCUCCCUGUGUCCUUUCUCGCGCCGCCGCUUUUCCUCUGUCCCUUAUUGCCCAGCACCUCUGUAGGCACACGGGCCGUAUUUCUGCUCGCUGUGUUCUUCAGCCUUUUCCUCAGUAGCGCAGCUCCCGAUCUCAGCUCCUUCCACGCCUUCUUCAGCCUCCCCCGCUCCUGCUCUGUGCCCGCGCUCCUCCGCGCCGGGUCCCGCAGGGAGCGCUCCGUGUGCUGGGAGCCGUGCUGUAACGUUUGGGGGAGGCCCUCUGCCACCAGAGGGAGAUUGCCCGGGCUGCUGGGGAAGCGGCGGAAACAUCAGCUGCGAGGCUGCCGACAAAACGCGCGGGAGUUUGACAGCUGCGUGCCGCGAACAGGUACGGUUUCCACAUUGAACCUGCUUGGGAGGAAUCACUGCUAUUCAGUCUGCAAACUGCUGACAUUCCAGCUCCAUGACCAGUUUUGUCAGAGAGCUUGAAUGAGGCUGCAAAGGUUGGAGGAGCCACUUAAGGAGGCGCAGCCUUGUUAGCUUCAUGGAAAGCUAACGAAGACCAGACCCUGUGCCUGUGUGAGUGCUGGAGGAGCGGGGAGUGCAAGCAGCCACAGGCAGUAAAUGUCUGCAGGGUCAGGCAUAUGUGAAGCUGCAAAACAUGCUGGAGCAUCCAGACGGUGCCUCAAGCUGGCCACACGUUCCCAGAAAUAAAGAAAAACACCAGAGCCUACCUGCAGAAUGACCUUUCUCCUAACUGACUUGCAGCUCCGAAGCUUUUGUGCUGGAAGAGAUAGGGAGAUGAAGUGCUCUCCUGUUCAGUGUAUGCGGAAGAGACUGGAGCUGAGUUGCUAUCUUCGUAACAGUAAAACUACAGCGAGAUCUGAAUUCUUUGUUCAUGUUUCGUUGCCUGCUUUGAGGCAAGCAGUGGUGAUGAGAGCAGACAUCAGCCGUAGGACACUUCUUGGCAGUGUGAGGGGAAGCCAAGACUGAGCAUAUGGCUUGUUGCAAGCUCUGACCUUCCCAGCGAUCUGGGGCAAAGCCAAGCGGCUGGAAUCUCCAUCGAGUGCCAUUCAGAAGCCUACCUGAUGCUAUGGAAAGCCCCUGUGCCAUUUCUGGGAAAAUAAAUCCAUGGGACCUGGUGCUAAGCAGCAGCACAGCUCCAUGGAUGCUCUCAGGUGGGGACUUGCUGGCCAUGGGUGCCCCUUGCAUGGCUCUGUGAAUUCAGGGGACCAUUGGAGAGCAGACUGGGAUGCCUGAGGGCACACUUCUACAAGCCACACAUGCAAUCUGUUGAGAUCUUAGUCGUCAUCAAAGGAAAAAGCGUGUUUGGGAUGAGUUUGGAAACUCUCCAGCCAUUCUAAGUGUGAAAUCUGCAGCUGGCUGGCCAGGAAGAGACCUUGAAUAAGCACAACGUAACCGCUCGUGGUGGCUUGCCAAGAUCUGGGUGGGAAAAGCCUUCCUUUGAAGAGGAUUUCCCUCUUCUCCCAAGGACUCCCCAGCUGCUGAGCUUUUUUUGUUGCCCCAGCCUCGUGGCUAGGAUUUGUAUUUCUCAAGACCUUGAAGCCUAUUCCCCUCUCCAAUUCUUCACAGAGUUCACUGCAGCCUGGCUCCGGUCACACAGCUGUUUGCUCCUUCACUGGAACCUGCUUCGAACAGAAAUGAUUUUGACUUUAUUUUCCUUUUGCUGUGCAGCCACCUAAUUACUUAACAUUAUAUUGCAGCCUCUUCCUACAGCAUUGCCAAAGAGCUCAUCAAAGCCUCUCUGCCCCAGCACUGGGGAAGGUGGAUUAUUAGUCUCUCCGUGUUCAAGGUUAGAGAUGUUCCCUUCUCUCAUGGACUAGCGACUCUUCCAGACACAUCUUUAGCCUUGCCAUUCAAGAUCAAAACCAGAGGCAGCUGGGAGCGCGUUAGAGUAAUGUGCACUCAAAGGCAGCACUUUGUUUCCUGUAAGUGACUAUCAGCUGAGCCUGUGAUGUGCUGAAAUCGGACUGAUUCUCCCCGCAGAGGGGAGCAGCCUGUCUGGGAGCUGGCUGUGGAACAGCGAAGGCUGAGCGCAUACUGUGGCAUGCUAAUGACUGACCUUGUUUCUCUUGCUUCAGCCCUCGGUGUCUGCUGCUAGGAAGGUUUCUGAUGGGUGAUAGCAGCAAGUGUUUCCGUAGAGCAGACUUCACAAAGCUGAGAUUCCUCCAGACCCUUGAGAGGCUGCUCUGGAGUAUCACAAACUUAAUACUUGGCAUAACUGGAUCCAUUUGGUCUUGAGGUGGUGGGAGGAUUAUCUGGUCUCCCUCCUGCCUUGACAAAAUAAGGCUCCUAAAUCUCCAUGUUUCACCUCUUUAUGCAUGUACUGAGUCCCAAAGCUAACAGUAGACAAAAUAUAUCCUCACUGGCCAUGAUUUCUCAAAUAUGUGAUGUCCUAGAGAUGAGUUAAUAUGCUGGGCAGGAGGGGAUAUGUGAGAAAGCAAGAGGCUUGGUUAAAUACUCCUGUCCUGCAUUCAGAUUUAGUGUGCAUGCACCUGAGCUGUGUGCAGAGAGCAGCUGCUGGGGCCUGGCUGUUCCAGUGUCCCACACUGUAUGCAGCACUGCAGCACUGGGAGGAAAAGCAAGGGAAGGAUUUGCAUUGGUAAGGAGAAGGAGCCAGAAAUGGAGUGGGAAAUAUUGGAAGGGCAGUGGGCAGAGUCAUGGGAGCCAGAUCUGCUCUUGGAUGGCAGCUGUUGCGUCCGUUUGCUCAGCAGGUAUGUUCUUGCCUUCUCAGGAAGAGCUGGCUUUUCAGAAGAGAGGGAGAAGAGAACAGAGGAAAAACUGGAGGGGAAAUGAGAGGAAAUAAAAGGAAAUAGAAGACAAAGGGAAAAGGCAGCAAAUGGAUGGAAGAAUUAGACAUGGAGUGCAGAAAGGACUGUAUGUCCCCAGUUGCUUUGAGCACUCAGCAGAUCCUGUGGUGUGUCUGCUUUAUUACUGACAGAGUUCUCCCUUCUGUCGGCUUGUUUCCUAAUUGCUGGUCUUGUAAACUGCUUGAUUUAUGGCUCUGUUCAUCAGUUCUGGCCCUCGGGUAUAACAUGCUUUUCCUUCCAGGCUGGGAAGUGAAUAACGAAUUAACAGCCCGCCUUAGGUUCAGUAAGAAGCUAAGCAUUCAGGGAUCUUUAUUGUGAUGCACGUGCCAAAUCUAACUGCUUAAUUUUUACUUCUCAUUCACGGAUGCUAUUCAGCGAGUCCUUCCCCAGGGCAGCAGCUGCGUCGUGGAUGCUUGGUGCCUUUGAAGUGUCCCACAAGUGAAGCCACCAAGGAAUGGAUUUGCAGUUGGUUUGCACAGAGAACUCAAUCUGUUUCCUCGCAGCUUGCUCUGGAGCUGACAUUGUGUGCCAUACAUGCUUGUCUCGGACAAACUUCCUUUCAGUGCAGUCGAGGGAUGAAGAUCAAGGCAAAGAACAAACAGCCCUGCUGAGCCGAAGCUGUCACCCCCCGGUGUGCAAGCAGCCUUCAAGCCAGCCUCUGGCUGUCCUCCCCACAUUCAGUGCUGAAAAGAGGUCCAGGGAAGGCAUGCAGCUGUUGCUGAGCAGUGCUACAAUGAACUAAAGGGGUUUUGAUGAGAUUCAGCGCCAGGUGAGUGGAAGCUGCUGUUAAUCCAAGUGUUUGUUCUCUCUGCUGAUUUGUCUCAUUGUCUCAUUUCUUCAUUGACACCUGGUUUUGGCAGUCUUUAACAGUGUAGCUCUCUCUCUGACCUUCUCAGACCAGCUAAUGACAGUGGAACAAAGCUUCUGGGCCAGCAUCCUGGUGCAAAUGUCAGUCUAGUCCUUCUGCACUGCUUUCCUCCCUCUUCUCCCUAGCAGAGUCCACUCAGGUGCUUUGCAGGAAGCUGCAAGAUAGCUCCCAUGAAGGCUGAGAUGCUCUGAGUUCAAAGGUAUUUCUCUCUCACGUCCUCCACGAAUGACUUGUGCUCACUAGCUCACAGCUGCCAGCUGGUUUAAGUUUUUAAGCCCAAGCUGAUGUAGCUGUGGGGCUCUGUGAGAAGUGCAGAGCACGUCUGGGCACGAGGACAGGCAGAGCGAGUGCCUCUGCCAUGGCUGAUGCCAGGAUGGAAGUGCCAGCAGCUGCAGGGCUGAGCUGGCUGAUAGAACAUGGCUCAGGCUGGGGGCUGUUCAUGUUCACCCCACUCACUGCCCUCCCGAGAGAGCAGGCUCACUGCUUGGGGUGCAGUUCUGCUCAGGUGUGCUAACUGAAAGUGAGCUGGGAUAGUAUUGCAACCCUGCCCUGUGCUGAAGGAACACAGCUCAGCUCUGCAUGGCUUCGGCUCUCCCUCUCCCAUGCUUAGAAAUGAAGCUAAAGGAAAGAGCUGUAACUCAGUGUCUGAUUCCAGGUCUCCCAUUCAGAAGCCUUGAUUAGGUGGUCAAGCGAGGACCGCUUCCUUCCUCCACCCCAGCUGCAUCCCAGCUGUGUUCAUACUAUGAGUGACGACUGUGAUAAAAUUGCUACUAAAUCCUGUCAGCUCUGAAACAGGAACUAUGAGGGUUGGUCUUUGCAUCAGACAUGUAAUUACCUGUCUACAAAACCAUGAAAAUGUACAAGGGGAAAAAAGACGGAAAAGCAAGAUCUCUGUCAAAUGAGAGAAAACCUAUCAUUUUCCCAUUUUUUUCCCCCUCCAUUCACAGCAGUACACUGCUGGGUUUAAUCCAGCUAGGAACCUGCUCAGGGGUCAGACUGUCUGAUAAGCUACCUGAUGGCUACUGACCCUCAAACCUGUGUCAGAUUGUAGGACUUUUUGUGUGAAAACUCAGGAAAAACUCUCAAUUUGGCAAGGUCUUAGAAGCAGAAAAAUCCAUUUCCUGCAUCAGAAGAAGGUCUUUUUAUGGUAAAUGAAUACUGAAUUGCAAUCAGAAUGCCAAUGCUAUUUGUUAAAUGUGAGUUACUUAAAUAAUUCAUUUUUCACUAAUUAUACAGGAUGUGGUUAGCUUCAAUGAUCACAUGUAAUGAAAGGUGAAUGGUUCCUGCAGCAUUGUCACGACUUUGAUGGUGCUGAUCGAGAAGAGACUGAGGAUUUCCUGAUAGUCUGCAGAUUAUUGCUAACUAAGGAGUCUACCUGGAGUGCCAUGCGUAUCCUGUGCUUGGAGCCAGACCUAGAACAUCCACAGUAUCUCCUCAUUUCCUAGGGAUCCUUAGAUUUGACUAAGGUCCCAAAUUAUCAAAGCUUCUGCCUGAUGUUAAAUGUGUGCUUAGAACUGUUUGAAGUCAAUGAUGCUUAAGUAUGUGCUUCAGCUUUAGUCACACCCUUGAGAGUGUUGCCGAAUGGAGGCUGCUGGCUAGUUAGGGAUAAGCCUAGCUGGCUUCUCUUCCUCCCCCAGGACACGUCUUACCCACUCCAUUAACUCACCCAGCGCAGCAGGCUCGGAGCGCCCCGGUGACUGUCACGGUUAACUUUAUUUCAUUUAAAACACAAUAGGCGAAUCUUUAAGAGUUUGAAAAGUUUCUUCCCCCCCUAGAAACUAAAUGAGAGUGUAUGUAGGAGGAAAAAAAUAUAUCAUCUCUGGCUAUAUUAUCUUACCGUGCCAAGCAGUGGGGAAGCCUCGCAGAGCAUUACUGUGCAGUGGAAGAGGCUUGGUUUUCUGUCCUUGCUUUAAUGAACCUUUGUUCUACCUCUUAACUGUGACCAUUUAAUAACCACUUGACUCACUUUGCCCUCAGCAGGAUGUUGCAUGUAGCUUCCCAGUGCUGAGGAGCAGUUGAAAUUAAAAAUGUAAUUUAAUGAUUCAGCUGGUAACAGACAGAUUACCCAAUAGCCUGCCUGUGGAGCGGACCUUCGUAAGCAUCAUUCUAUACAAGAACGCUUCCUUAGACAACAAUUAACUUGCUGGCGUGUGCGCUAAGCUCCCAAGUCAUCUUUCUGCAGUCUUUAAAUCCUUAGCGUAGAGUCUCUACUGAACAUUCAGCCAACAGCAAAAUGAAAGAAAAUGUUUUUAAUGUAAAGAGUGGUUCAUGCUCUUAGUUUGGAAGCAGAUUUAGGUAUCUUUGCACAGAGGACCCUCUUCUUCAGAGAGGAGUUUGUUUUCUCUCUGAAGACUUCGGGAUUUAAACAUGCAAGGCAGACAGGAGCAGAAAGAGGAGGGUGGCUGUGAGGGGAAGUCAACAUGCAGCUGGAAUGACACCCCAGGCUGCUGCAUCAGUACAAAUCCUUGUGGGCUUUGCUUGGUGUCUGAACAGCAUUCAGAUGUGGGCAAACCCUGUAUGGAAGGAAGCUCAUUAUUAUCUACAAGCCAUCACGAGCAGUAAAGAGCCUUUAAAAAACAAUCUUGUAUACCCAGAGGAACUGAAGAGACCUCCUGAGCACCUGUUUGGAUCAGGAGAAGAGAUGCCUGGGAGAGACAGAAAAAGAAGAGAAAGCCUGUUCUGACUGUGUCAGUGGACUUCAUUUCUCUGGAGUUCAGCUCAGUUCCUGCAAAGAAAUCUUUCCUCCAAAAAAACCCAAGAAGCAAUUCCACCGAAAGCCCUGCUAGAGCAGACAAAGAUCCCUCGUGAUUUUAAAGUCCAUCUAGCCUAUAGGCCCCAACCAGACAGUGGGGCAGGGGAAGUGGAGGUUUAAUUUGAGAGAAAAUUCUGGGUGGCCCAGAGGAAAGAACAACAGGUCUUUCUGCCUGGCGUAUGAAAACACGUUCAUUGUACCUGCCUCUCCUGUCAGACAGGGGUAGGACAAGAAAUGAUGCAUUUGAAUUGGGGUGGGAAAAGAUUUAGGUCACACAUCCCAAAGUUCUUCCUGCAGUGAGGAUAGUUUAUGGAAAAGCUUUUUUUUUUUUAAUAGUUUUGUCUCAUGUAGAAGGUGAUGUUGUGGUUGGGAACUACGAAGGAAGACCUUACUGACGUUCCUACCCCACGCUGCCCCUGACACAAGGUGCUUCACCAGGGUCCGCAGAAAAUCAGAUCAGAUGAAAGCUUAUUUUGAGUAGCGCAUACAAGGUUUAAUUCUUUCUGCUGAGGCCUGUGCGAAAUAAGUCAAGUGUCCUUGACUGUAGCAACCCUCUUUGGAGAGAGAAUUAUUUCGCCAGUUGUACCAUACCCUCUGGUCCAUUCCUAAAAUGAUGCAAAAAUGCGUAUGCUCCGUCACAAGAGAAAUCAUAACGAGAGGCGAAGGUUCAAGAUAAACAUUGUUCUUAGGAAGGCUUUUGAGUUGCCUUCACUUACAGCCAGUUUGCAGCUGACUUUUUUUAGUAAGAACGAAUUUACUGCAAUAGGUGUGAGUCAGCACGAGUAUAUUGCAGGUAAAUCACGUCAGACUAAUUUGAUCCCUUGUGCUAGUGAAAUAACUAUCAGUCUAGGUAGCGUAAAUCCGUUUGGUCUUCCAGACUGUCUGAACAAAAUUUUGCAUGAUGGAUUAUAGCGCAACCUCCUUCCAAAUGUAGGUUAAAAGAAAUGGUGAUCAAAAAGGCUGAAAUACAGGCAGGGGACAGAGUCAUGGCUUGGGGUGAACUGUGGGAGUCGGCGAGGAUGUGGCAGAGGCAUUUAGUCCUGCAAAAUCUUCUGCUGAGGUGUUUUAAUAGUGUUAUUAAAGAUGAAUGCAACUCCACAGCAUGUAGGAUCUUUAAUUUUGCAGAUGAUACAAAGCUGAAGGGAUCACGCAAGACUUAGUGAUCUUUCUUUGCAGAGAAGUUGCUUUUUGACAGUAUAAUCUUGCUAAAUGCUGUAAGUAGACUCAAAACCUCAGUAUGAUUUUGACUGGGCCUUUAACAGAGAACUGGAGGUUAGAGCUGGAAUGGCAGCGUUGUCGGUGGAGAUGGAGCUUGUGCCGCAAGCUGUGUUGGGGCAAUGGGAGUGAGGAGUGACCAGCAGGAGGAGUGAGAGAUAUCGUCCUUUCACUUCGGGAUUGUUUGGGUUCUUAAUGCAUUCUCACCAUAAAUGUUUGCGCAGCAGCAUUCGCUAGAAAGUUCUGGUGGUAGCCAUGCUUUAUUGUAGUAUAUAAAAUACAUAUUCUGUUUGGCCGUGUUUUAUUAUAGGAUAUAAAAUAUGUAUUCUCUUUGUAGCUGAUGUAGCAAUUAUAUCUGCGAAAAUUUAUAUUUAUGUGUCUGAGUAAGGGCUUACCUAAGCAUGCAGCUGCUCCUGAUUACCUGCAGAUAAAGGAGGAAGAACUGGAUAGGAACAAAAACUGCAUGUUCUUGUGCAAGCCUGCUGACAUGCUGGAAGAGUUAACUGGGAAGAGAUACUACAUGGUUUCUUCCUGGCCUAUUGUAAUACACAGUAAUGUGGAAGCGUAACUGUGUAUGUGUUUAGCUGUAUAAAUUUUAUUCCUAUCAUAGCCAUUAUCUGAGCUUCACAUUCAUCUGGCUCUCUGCUUUUAGGUGCUCCUCAUUACAAAGUCUCAGCAACACUAUGCCAGUCUGGGCAAGAAACGUGCUUCCUCUGCUCCCACUGAGCAGGAGACAGCUGAGCUGUCCAGCAGACAACUCGGUGCUUUCCUGCAGCUUUCCUACCGGUUGGUGAAGGUAAUGUGAUGGCUGUGCUGCUCCAGUGCUACAUGCGCUCCUCUUUCUGUGGCAAAAACAAGUGCAGUCUUUGGAAGAUGUACUAUAACUGUCAGCUGAUUUGUUGCAUGAGAUUCUGAGAAAAGGAAGAGUGAAAAUAGCAGGAGAGUGGUUUUUCAUCUCAUUUGGACCCUGAUUUAAAUGGGUUUCUGGGGCAGCAUUCAUUUCUGGGAUAAGAGCGAAUCUUUAGGAUUGAGGUUUCUGCAACAGGAGCAAUCUUUUAGGGGUAUCCACCACCUGUAUUUUGGGUUUAGAGUACACAUUUAAAGGUGACCUGUCAAUCUGACAGCACACCCAGAUGCAGCGUUUACUGAUUUCUCUGCCACCAAGAAGCUGAACCACAAAUCUCCAGACAUCUGUCAUCACUAACAGAAGGGCAAAAAUAUUAAAAUGGAAACCAUAAAGUUGAAUACAUCAAAGAUACAACCAGAGAAGAAAUAUGAGAUCCCUCUGUAGCAGGCAUAACUCAUUCGCAUUGCCAAUUCAAAAUCAGCCAUAGCAGGAGAAUUUAAUGAUACCAUUGUUUAGUGAAAUUAGACAUGACACUAGCCAGUUACCUUCUAUUUUGGUUGGUUAGGAUUUGCUGUUGUUUGACACUCAUUAGAAAUCACAGUAACCUGCUUUCAGGGCAGUCAAAUUAAGCUUUCCUCUCCCUGUAUGAGAUUACUCAUCACACCACAGCUACAUGAUAAUUGGAAAAUAACUAGUGAAUGAGUACACCUUACAGAAGCUGUCAUCUGAGCAUGUCAGUAAUGUACCCAAGGUGAUCCUGCAAAGAAUUUGGUUGUACACACAACACCUAAGAAAAAACUGUUGCGGGAAAUUAAUGCUACAAUAACUUAUCAGAUGUAAAAAUAAUUAUUAAUCCUUAAUGAUGCUGGUAAUUUCUUUAUGGGCAUUCACCUGCCCUUUUGUUUCCUUUAGUGCCUCCGGCAUGAGAACACAUGCUUUUCUACCUGAACCUCAGCCCCAGCUAGUCUUUGUUUUGAGAGCUACUGUGCCUGCUGGGGAAUUUGAGAGGCUUCACAGUGGUUGUGCUCACAUUAGCAAGGUGCAGCAGGGGCAGAUCUGGGGAUUGCAACAUUUGGUGCUGGUCUGCUGUGUGCAUUCUGGGGGGGAUCUACUUGGGAUAGCUCUGAUCUGGCCCUAUGGUUUGGAACAUUCAAUAGCAACUGGAACACGCUGGGUGAGUUUUUGGAGCACAUCUUGUCAUUUAGUUUUGUCUGAAAAGAAUCUAGUUCUGCAGUGUGGGCCUACAUGCAGUAAGGUCAGGAGUUACCUCAGAAGGUCUGUCCUAGUCCUAAGUAAAACACAAGCCCAUAGAGAUGGAGAAGAGUCUGGAAGAAGCCCGUCAGACCUGCAUCUCAUUGCUGGAAAUGGAUAAGGAAAGUUAAUCUGAACACGCACAGCCUGUUUUGUUGUUUCUAUAACGUGUUUGCUCUGAAAUGCAUUUUGUUCCCGGGAAGCCCUACUUUGCAAUCAGGCAGUUGCUUGUUCUGUGAUGAGCAUUGCUGCUGCCCCAGAGGGAGGGGAUGGCACUGUCUGGACAGGCUUCACAUUUGCUGAAGGAACUUGCUUUUGCUACUCCACCCAAGAUCCAGUCUACAACUGGAAAAGUCGUCUGAUUCCCACUGAAGACUUUGGGUUUAGGAGCCAAGAGAUGGUGUGCAUGUGAGGCGUGUCAGACUGGUCCCAAGUGUAGCUCACCCUGCAGCUGUGACAAGUUUCCAGCCUCAAGUUGGCAGAAGACGUGCAGGUAAGGUUAGCAUUAUCAGUUUAUUCUCUUCAGUGCGUUCUUUUUUAUUUUAAUUGGAAUAUACACUCCUUGUAUCACACUGCCCAAUUCUGCAUGUUCCCUACAUAUUCAAACAGAAGAUGAAUUUUCACUUUUGACAGUUCAGCUUACAAAACCAAGAGAGAGAGGGAAGAAAGGCCCUUCUGCAUCAGUGUGAUGAUGGAUCACUUUUUAUUUUUGCUCAGAUGCCAGGUCUGGAUUUGAAAUAGAAAAGUAAUAUACUGUUCCAUGCAGUUACGUGGGGAGGGGGCCCUGGAGGAGGAAUGCAGACUGCUGUUAGACAGGGCUGGAGAGAUCAGACAGGCACCAGGAGAACAAAAGCCGCCCCUGUUAGAGAUCUGGGGGCUGGUGCUGGAUGGAGCGGGGCCUCCUGCUGCUCGCUGCUCACUGUUGCUGUGGCCAGGCUGGCAUCACUGUGCAGGGAGAAAUGCAGGCAAAGUGCUAAUCUAUCGAAACAGAAGGACAGACUUAGCUUGAGAAGAUGAGCAUGCUGAGCUGGUUUCUGCUCUGUUACACCCUGAAACCUCACUGAUAUCUGUAGAGCUCCCCAGCUGUAACUAGGAGCAGACAGGGGUUCUUUAUGCAUUUUCUCCAGAGCCAAACUGGUGAGGAUUUUGUGAGAACUGGAGAAAUUGAUACUGAGAUUUUUGGCUCUGCGGGAGGGAAUCUCUGUUUGCUUAAUUUGGGAUGAGCCAGUCGUAUAAGUUACAGGACAAAAAGCUUAAGCAGUGGAAGCAUCCCCCAGAGCAUAGUGUAGAGUUGGAGGCAGCUAGGAAAAGUCUUUCAGGCUGCCUGUGUCCUCCUGCAAUGCUUCCUUCACUCCCUCAAAUAUAGAGAAACACCCGCUCCAAAUGUUUUGUGCAAGAACGUGGCUCUGGGACCAGCUGGGCUUAAAACAACCCUGUUUUGUCUAGCUGCCUAUAUAAUUUCUCCCAGAGGCGAAUGAAAGAGCAGCUUCUGGAAAGCAGUUAAUCCCGUAAUUUCACCUAGUUCUCUGGCAAGCACUACCAUUACUGAAAGGCCUUCACUUCUGUUUCUGUUAGGUGUUCUUUCAAGGUGAAAUUUCUAAUUUCCAGCUUUUUGCAGUUGUCUUAGAAAAGGCACCACGGUAUCUGAAAGCCCUCUCCCACAGCUGCCCCACAGUUGCCUUCCCCCCUAUAAGUGCUGGUAGCAGAUAUCAGAUCCCUUCUCAGCUCCAUCUCUGGUGAGCCAGCAGGCCUGGGCUCCUGCAGAAGCACACAGCACACAGCUCCUGGGUCAUUCUUUUCACUUUGCCUGAAUCAUUUCUUUAUUAUCUCUCUCUCCUUGAAGGAUGGAACAGAGAGUGGACACAGCUUUCCAGCAGACAGCCACUGGUGCCACGAACAAGAAGGAAUGCUCCCUGCUGGCGUUAGUGAUUGCCCUUUCCAUGGAGGGAUCAGAGGAGUCCUUUUACGCAGCUUGUGCUUGUCCUCUAAGUCCUUUUCAAACCAGCGGCUUUCCGAGGCCGCAUCCUAGAGGCCACUUGCCGGCCUGCAACUCAGUGGGGAGCAGGGCUAUUCUGAUUGCCACAGAGUGAACUGAAUCUGCAAGCUUCUGAGCACGAGUUGCACGCAGGAAAAGGAUGUCCAGAGCACCUUGCUGAAAGAGAGGAGGCAGAAGAACCUUUGUGCACGCCCUGCUUCCUGUGUGCUUUGCUGAUUUUAACCACAGGACGCUGCUGAGUGCUCAGCGUCGCUCACAUUGGCUGCAGCGCUUGGAGCAUCAGAGCCUGCUCCUCUGACUGCAUCCAGAGCAUCUCUGGUCUGAACGCAGCUCCAUGGCAGCUCUCUGCUCGGCCUGCCAAGGCUCCGGCUCCCAACUGCUGCUCGGCAUCCUCCACCUUCCCUUUGAAAAGAAAGCGAACAAUGUAACCCGGAGUGAGGGAAAGGAGACAAGUUUAUUGUGCACGCUUCUGGGCCCACUGCAUUUUCGGGCCUCAAGACUUGGGACGUGAUCUGUGCACGCCGUGCUGAGCGGGUGAGGCCGAGCCAGGAAGCUGCCAACUGGGACAUCGUGUUCCUCUCUAAGCCAGGCACGUCUCUGACCCUGAGCUGGUGGAGAUCAGUGAUGCAGUAGCACAGAAGGGAGCCAUGCGGCAGGGGACAGAAGGAACCUGCAGCGUGUUCUUCCUGAGAUCUCACAUCUUCUCCACCUCAAAGCAUUUCCUCGUCCUUCUCAGGCUUUGUCCAUACAGAGUGUGAACUUCAAUGUGUUUCCCAACACAACUGUGAGCAAUAUCCCAAACAGAGUGCUGUAACUUCAGGUGAAGAAAAGCAACAGAAGCAGAUGGGCUUGUAAACAGCAGAGAGCUGGCUCCCCCACAGAGGGCCGUGCAGAACAGAGAGGAGCAGAACGCAGGGAGACUACUGCAGAUCCCAUGGAUUGCAACAGUCACAGGGAAGAGAGACCUGUGAAAGAUGGCUCUAGCAGCAGAAGAAAAGGCCGGGGACGCGUGCGGUGACACCCGCUCAGGUGCCACUGCCCUGCAGUUCUUCACAAACUCAAUGAAUGCGCCGUCAGUGAGAAGCAUAAAGGCAGAAUUGGUUUUAGCACAUGAAAGAGAGGCAAGUGCUGUGGCCUGGUAUCAGGCACCGAGUUCUGGUUUUGGGUUGGACACCGAUUCACCCGUGAGCUUGGGGAAAUGGUUUCCUUUUCUGUGCACCUGUUUCCACCCCCCACCUCUAAUUGUCUGUCUGGUUUGCUGCGAGCUCUUCAGGAUGCAGCCCGUCUAGCUUUGUGCACACGCAGCGCCGCGGCACAAUGCAGCCUUGUCUUGGUUGGGGCCUUAGGUGUUGGAGCAGUACAAAACAAAAGGUAUGCCCAGACGGCAGGGCACGCUGCCCAGACGUGCUGCCCUGCAAGCAUGUCUGAAACCUGAUGUGCUGGGAGCUGUCUCCAUUCCCACUCCUCGGCCAACAAAGCAUUAAUCAGUUCCAAUUACACUGGUGGGGUGAACUGGCAUGCUCCCAGUUCUGCUGAGAGCUGGGGUGAAAUCACUGCUCAUUCAGCAGACUCAGGCAGCACUCCAUAGGAACCUGUGUCCUGCAGCCCUGGACCUGCCUCGAGCUUCACUGCCUCCCUGCAGGUGAGAGGCUCCUUACACCAGUCCUGCUGCUCGUCUAACCCCGCUCUGAGCACCUGAGCCCACUCCAGUUUGCCAUUUUCUCCUUUCCUCCUUCGUCUGAGGAGAUGUGUGCAUGCCUCCGGCUUUGCUUCUUGUCUCCCUGCUUCUGCAUAGCCCCUUCCUCAGGUUGUUUUUCCCAGCACUCCAGCCCAUCUUUUGCAUUCCUCCCUGCUUUGAUACAGCAUCUCGUCCUGCUUCACACUCGGAGAAGGGGUAUUAGGUGGAUUCCCCAUAGAGUAUAAAUUGAAUGGAGAGAAGUGGCUGGUUUCCCGGCAAUCAUUUAUCUGAUUAAAAAAAUACUCCCCAAACUCCCCCCACCCCCUCUUGCCGGUGCCGCACCCCCUGCAAAAAGAACGUUGGCACUCAGGCUGGUGUUUGAACUGUGGUAUUCAAAUGGCUGGAAGGGGGAUUUAGAUGGGAAAAUAACUGUCAAAAGAUGGCUCUCCGGGGAAAAAGCAUGAAUGCUGAAAUUUGGAACAUGGGCUGGUGUAUGGAGGAGGCAGAGAGUAAAUAAUUCUGAGUCAAGUACCUCAGUGCUUUCUAGCUUCGCCAUCAUCUAACUAAUAUUUUACACAGGUUCGCACACAGCUGUGCUCACACACAUGUGCCCCUGCACACACGUCUCAUUGGAGAAGCCAGAAGCAACAACUCCAGAGCGAAGCAAGCUGCUCCUGCCACUCCGUUCCUCCUCUCUUUUUAUUUGCCUUCGUUCAGAGCUCGCCCCAAAUCCACUUCACAAAAUGCACGUCUCCUUGUUUGUUACCUGUACAGGUUUUAUCCGUUCAAAUCAGCAUUAUCCAAGGCUAGUAAUGUUCUUCUCCUGCUGCAGCCAGUGUUCCUCCACUUGUAUUUGUGGAGUGGAAAAGUCACCCCUCAACAUCACAGAAACACAGCGUAGGUGACCUGAACUAUGUCCUUCUGGCCAAUCUGUGUUUCUCUGCUGCCUUUUUCUUUGAGGGAGAGAGGUAUUUUACAUUUCAUACUGCUUCCACAGUAUGCAGUGAUUUAUAACAGGAGCUACCUUAUUAAUGUCAAGGGCAGAAUUGCUACCGACACUCAAGCUGCAAGAGCGUAUGAAAAGCGUUUAGUGAGCUGUGGCACGAUCCCAGCACUGAGGGCUGUUGGCUGACGUGUUGGUGGCCUCAGCCCAGCCUGCCUGCUGCUUUCUGGGCCAGUGGGUGAAACGUGAACGGGCCCAUUCUGGGCUGCAGCUCUGCAACCGCCAAGCAACCCUAAGACAGUCUCCAGGGCUCAGGUUUCCUUGAGUUUUGACAGGAGCGCUGCUCAGAGGAAACCUCUCUGCUCCUUCUGGAGGAUUUACAGUGCCACAAGUCUUCAUUUUUUCCAGAUGUUUUACCUAAUAAAUCAAGGAGUCUCAUCAGAGGAUUGAAUCCAAAAGCUGUUACCAUGACUUCAAAGGCACAGAGUGGAGCAGAAAGAAGCAGCGCGGACAUUUUCUACCAGUCUGUAGUCACUGAUUAUGAAAAAAUACUCUGGUUCCAGGGUUUUUUCUGUGGGUACCAGAACUCCACCGUGAUUGAAUAAAAUGGUGCUGUGCCCCCAGCCAACGUUUGCUGGAAAAGAAUCCUGGUGAAUUUGGGCUGCGUGGUUGGCAGAAGUGGGAGUGGGUGACACAGUGUGCUGCUGGCCCGGAGGAGCUCUGCCAGCCCCAUCCACCAUCAGCUCGCUCAGCUUUGAGGUCAGUCUGGCUUUUCAGAUCAGUCUGUGGCUGUGACCACCUCCUGGCCGUGCUUGCUGCAGGUGGCAUUGUGUUUGGGUUGUGCUUGUGGAUUCAGGUACAUGAAUGAGUUGUCACCACGGAGUGUUGGGUAAGGGCUAAGCUAAGCCCUGUCUUACAUUGGUAACAUGUUAAAAGCAUGCAGAGGGUGCUUCCACAAAGCAGAUGGGUGGUCGGGUCUCUGAGGGACCAGGGACCUGUGAAAAUACUGUGCAGCCCCUGGUAAACACUGCCAUUAUGCAGAACUGACUCGGGACAUGGAUUUUCUCCAGUCAUGCUUUAUUUUAUGUGUCUCAGGUGGAGGGCCAUCAGACUGGGGUAAGCCAGGUGCGUAUCUCUUGUACUGCAAUGGUAUGUUCAGACUUAAAAAAAAAAACAACAACCAAGUUCGUCUAAAUAUUAAAUAAUAUGAAUCAAAUUACACUCACCACAAUACAGUUUGUUCCUGCUGCAGACUUCAGAAAAAUUGCUGCUCAUCUUCCCUCCCCCAGGAUGCUGACGCCCAGCAAACUGUCACGGCUGCCUGGGAUUGGUGACAUCUCGAGUGACACGUGUUGGAUCGUCAGAUCAGAGUGGGAGCAGCACAGCUUUGGGAGCCUAAAAAUAGUCCUGCAUGCUAGAGAGAGUUGGAGAGCACCGAUGGGGUGAGGAGCUGAACUUCUGAAAACCAGGAAGAAACGCUGGCAAACUUGUGCUGCUUUUGGAGAUUCUCAAAAUUUGCAAGAGGUCAUCGUCCCUGUCUUCACUACAUCUUACUAAUGAUGCGUGCCGUUGUUUCUGAACUCUUAAAUUAGCAGACUGAGCUAACCCAAUGCAACUUGCAGCAGCUCGAGAGUGCUUCCAGAUCUCAGUGGGAGUCAGAAAGGUUCAGUGCUAGCCUCAGGGAGUCACAAAAGGCGGACCCGGCUUCCCCUCACCAGCCCAACUCCUUCACAUCGCCCUGGAGAACCUGUCUUUCUCCAGGCCCUUUGUGCCUGCCAACUUCCCUGACCCAGUUCUUGUCCCACCACACGUCACAGCAGGAGCUCCCCGCUCACGUUGCUGGGAGCAGUGAGAGGACUGGAAGGACGGGUUCCCUGCUCAGCCUGGGUACGCUCAGACUUGGCACAGAGCAGGGCAGCAGGGAACUGGAACUGCAGGUCCAGCUCUGCUCCCACGGCCUGGGGCUGCGACCUGCUCUGCAAGCGUGAAACCGCUGCAGGAUGGCACUGGCAAACCCCACGAGCACCAGCGGCACGCUCCGUAGGUUUUUCCACAGAGCUCUGUGAGGAAACAUCUCUUGUAAGAAGAGAUGCUUUGAAGACACAAAUCACCUUUUCCUCUGUCCUGAUAAAAGGGAUGACAGCAGUCAGUUUUGAAGCAUAACCUGAGGUUUGAACUUUGGGUGCUUUACUUUCAGCACAAUAGCUGUCCGGUGCUAAUAAAGGUGACUGAAGAUGGGAUUUCAUGAUGGGAAUUGCUAACCAUCACGGUGAUGCUACCAGCCCCACCCAGUAGUCGGUAUGAACCAUUAGUUUGUUGCUGGUAUUCCUCCAGGCGUACCAGCAUAACCAAACCUCCUCAGGAGGAGGCAACCGCUCCCUGCAAUGGGAA